ensembl:lncRNA
GGCGGGAAGAGGGAAGAUUUGUUGACCAUCAGGUGUCCUGAAUUGUCUUAAGCAGAGGAGGCCUGUGAGAAAAAGAAGCAAGAGACAAGGAAGUGGGAGCCAGGGCCCCGUCCAAGGGGGCUGGACCCUAAUUCAAAGACAGUGGGACCAUGGCUUCUGUGUCCAGUGCGGGGGUGUAGGGGCUGUGCUUCCAAAGGACACAGCCCAGACUGAAGGGGAUGGUCAGAGACGGGUCAUAGAAUCCAUCCUCUCACAACGCAGCAGAUGCCUGGCCCACUGCCAAGGUCGUGGGAAAGGGAGCGACCAGAGAUGGGGUGGGGGGCGCAGAGAGCUCCAGCAGAGAGGCGAACGAGAGCAGGGGCAGCGAGGGCUGUGGGAGAUGGAAAUCCACCUUCUCCAUGAGGGGGUGGGAUGGUGCUUAUACAGGACACCACCCGUAAAACAAAAAAGAGAAAAAGAAAAGGUGGGAUGAUAAAGUCCUUCUGGUCAUUUUACAAAAAAGUCCUGCAGGAGAGGAAAACCCUGUAGGAAAGGAGACUGGGGGUUGGGGGCUGGGGUUUGAGGUGGGCUGCAGGGCAGGAGGAGAGGAGGGGUUGGAGGUCGAGGGGAGGGGCGUGGGUGAGGGGGAGCAGGCGGGCCUCCGAGGAAAGCCUCCAGAGUCUGCCCCUUGGCCUGGGGGGACUGGUGACUAAAGCGGUCUCAAUGAGGGGCAGUACGUGGUGAGGAACAAAGUCCGGGGGGAUGUUAGGAGCUCAACUGCACUGAAUCAGAUCCUCUUGAAUGUAGCACAGUCGGCGGCAUCAGAUGAGAUAGUGAAAAGAGAAUUCCAUUCAGGUGGUUCACCUGCAGAGACUUGAAAGAGGGUGUGGGCAGAACUAAAGAGACUAACCCCCAGAGACCAGCAACAGCCGAAGCCACCCACCCCGGGCCUGAGCAGAGGGCAGUGAAGGUGGGACUGCGGCCCCAGAGAGGGCGGUCACACGGUCAUCAAUGUAGGGCCAGCACGGGGAUGGACAGAGAAGAAACACCCCAACUUCUCCCCCACUGCGGGCUCCUGGGUAGUGCUCACUGACUGAUCACAACAGAGAGUGGGGCGCGAGGCAGCCCAGGUGAUGUGAUUGUUCGGGACCACAGCCCUCCCAGGUGCCAAGCAAGGCAGGGAAGGGAUUUGAGGGCAGAGCAAAUGGAGAUGAACUGACACACACAGCUUGCAAGCAGCUUUCCCCCGAAUCCAUCAGAACACGAUGAUGUCGCUGGUGUGUGAUCCACACUGCUCUUCUCUCUGUGCGGGGGCAAUCAAGAGUAGAAGGAAGAGUUUCUCAGGACAUUGAAGUCAUUCUGCUUGUCAUCACCAAAAAUGUGCCAACGCCGCUUUUAUUUGAAAGAAUGACUGACAGACAAACUAGGAUUAUCAGACUCGGGUAUCUGACAGAUAUUUUCUAAUGUCUAUCAAGGGAGCCUGUUACUUCAAGGAAAACAAUGGAAAGUGCUUGUUGCCAAUGAUAAAGUUCAUGCUUUCCAGCACAAAUUCUAAAGUUUUGGAAAGCGCGUAUCUGCCAGUGAUAAGAGCUUGACAGUUUCCUGGUACUUAUAGACUUUUCUGACGAUAUUGGUGGAAUUAUUAAAGAAUUAUGUUUUAUGAAUAUAUUGUAUAAUAAAAUGUGUUAGCAUUUGGAAGAUCUGCAUGACCAAGUGAACCAAUAUUUUUCAAAUGACCAAUGCGAGAUGUUACAAAGUCAUGUGUGGGUGAAAUCUAUUCACAGUUCAAGAUAACCAAUGCGUUUUAAUGUAACAAAGUAAGAAUGUCUUUUGCUAUCACCCAAAUGGAUCUGUAGAAUAAAUGCAAUAUCAGUCAAAAUCCCACUAGGCUUUAUUUUUGUAAAACUUGACUAACUCUAAAAU